CGUAUACUCACGAACUGUGCCAUAAAACAACCUUUCUUCAUCACUACCAUCACUACCGCCUUCCAUUAUAUGGAACACAUGACGAAAUAACACACAGCAAGAAGCCGCGAAACGCGAUCUAGGCAGCUUACAAAUAUCUCUCACACCAUGACCACAUUACAAGAAAGACCGCCAAACGAAUUCUACAUCAUUUUGCAAACUGAACAAUGUAAAAAUAUUCAAAUUUUCAGACUAAAAAUAUCUUCCAAGACUCCUCAGUACCAAAAUAAUGGAUAAUACGGUACUUCUGUGGUCUAAUAAGGGUUUCGUGGAACUAGAAAUAUUUUUGCGUCAGAAAACAGCGUUUUGAAACGUUUAGAAUUUCCAAAUAGACAACAAAACAAAUUUAAAAAGAG